rnacentral:snRNA from 1 species
GUGCUGGCUUCAGCAGCACAUACACUAAAAUUAGAACGAUACAGAGAUUAGCAUGGCCCCUGCGCAAGGAUGACAUGCAAAUUCGUGAAGUGUUCCAUAUUUUU